UACAGCGGGCAUCGUGGCAG
rnacentral:misc_RNA from 1 species